AACGUUCCCGUCACGUGUGCAUGCAGCGCUUCAGCAAGACGAAGUGAUGAAAAACAGUGGCCAGCGUUGCAUCAUGGGUAAAGCAAGAGGAAGUCGAGCCAACCAAGAAGAUUGCGCGAUGUUAAUGAGCGAGUCCGCGGAUGGAUGGAUGAAUGAAUGUGCGUUUGCGGAACGAUAACAUAGCAUACACGUAUCUGUCUCCUUUAUUUUUUUCCGUGAAAAUUAAGGGUCAAUAACGAUUGUUAGAAAAAUAAAUAAAGAUCGAGAAAGAAAGGAAAACGUCGGAUUAUAUUUUCAUUUUCUAUUGGUUCCGGGCUCUUGUUUCUGUCCGGUGACGUGUGCUGACGGACCAACUCGACAUGUCUGCAGCGGGUGAAAAACUCGUCAAAGUGUCUCAAAAUGAGGACGAGGACAAACUGCAGCUGAUUAAAGGUGCCGUCUUCCUGGCCACGGUUUCGUCUUUGGGCCUCAUUGCGGGCUUCGGAUCCACUUUGGCUUUGGCCAAGAAGAACAACCCCGGCUGCUUCGCUAAGGGCGCCACGGCCACGGCGGCGCUGCCCGAGAGCGGCGCGGCGCUGGCGCUGCGAGCGCUGGGCCGAGGCUCGUUGUACGCGUGCUGCGGCGUGGGCCUGCUCGGCUUCGGCGUGUGGAAGCUGCUCGGCGUUCGCGGCCUGUCCGACUUCCGACAGAAGAUGUCGUCGUCGUUCCCGCCCGUCCCCAAGUCGGACUCGGACGCGGCCCCGGGAUCUGACCCGCAAGAAUUGGACUCGAUCUUCAAGUCCAAGUGACGGAACCUGUUGGAAUGCAUCUGAAAGUGACUUAUGAGAAGACGGGUGGUGCUUUCGAGGACUCGUGUCGAUUAUGUCCGGCAGAUGGUGGCGUCAUUGCGGAUCUUUUGUUGGAAUCUGGAUCUGGAGAAAGGACUUCGGAUCUUGCAGACUGGACCAGGGUAUGGUAGCAUCAUCCUGGAUCCGGAGAUGGGAUCUCGGAGGUGUGGCGUGUUAGAGCAUCAGCGUGGAAAUGAAGAUAAAGGUUGUCAUCAUCAGUGACGUCGGAGUCAUUUGAGGUCCUCCUGCCAGACAAGACACAAGAUUAAGACGGUUUUCAUGAAGUGGCCGCACGUGGUCUAGUUUCCUGGUCCUCACCACUGUGGGCCGUGAUGAGCAUGCUCGCGAUGUGCUCCAGGGAUCCGUUGUUGGGCUCUGCUCGGAUGUCGAGCAGCUGGCACAUGAGCGGAUAAAUGUGAACGCUGUCGAACGGCUCGGCCAGGAAGUUCUUCUUGAAGUCAGGUCCGAAGGCCCUGAAGAUCAUCUUCAUGUCCAUCUCGCCGUUGUGGAAGCCGUGGUCGCCUUUGUUCACAUACACGAUAAAUCUCUGGCACGGGAAAAACGCCGUUGAGCGGUUAAGGACGUUAGCGUUCUCGAGGCGAAGAGGCUACCUACAUUAGCAUGGUGAUGUCAGAACAGUUAGCUACAUUAGCAUGUUGACAUGGAAGCAGCUAACUACAUUAGCAUGUCAACAUUAGCAUGUCCAUGUUACAGCAGUUAGCUAUCUUAGCAUGUUGACAUUUGAAAUCAGUUAGCUAGUUAGGGGAUGCAGUUAGCUAUAAUAGCAUGUCUACAUUAGCAUGUUGACAGGAAAGUAGUCAGCUACAUUAGCGUGCAGCAUUUUGAGGAUGACACUGUUAGGAUGUUGACAUUUUACCAGUUCGCUCCAUUAGCUUAGCUAGAAUGUUAUAUUAGCAUGUUGACGUGGAAGCAGUUUGCUACAUUAGAAUGUACACAUUAGUAUGUUGCCAUGAAAGCAGUUAGCUACAUUAGCAUGUUAACGUGGAAGUGGAAGCCCUCAGCUCCACUAGCAUAUUGCCUAUAAAACAGUUUGCUAGAGUCACAUGUUGAUGUGAAAGUGGUUAGCCACUUUAGCAGAUUGAUUUGAAAGUGAAAGCAGUUAGCAUUAGCUGACCGAAAAAGUUGAGGUUGAAUGCGGCAUGCUAAUGUAGCUAACUGCUUUCCAUGUUGACACGCUAAUGUGACUAACUGCUUCCACAUCGUGCGUGCCAACCUGAAAGUGAACGUAGUUAGCAUGAGCAUCAGCACACUGACCGAGUUGAGGUUGAAGCCGAGGUCCGCCACCACCACGACGGGCGGCAGGCGUCGGCUGCGCGCCAGGUGGAAACUCUCGGGCAUGUCCUCCUUCCUGUAGACGGUCAGGUUGGGAGCCUUAGCUAGCGCCUCCAGUACUUCCCCCUCCUUCCCCGGCCGCGGCGUCAGGAUCCCGAAUCCGCCGUAGUCCAGAAUCUCGAAGCUGGCUAGCUUGAGCAGAUUCAGGUACUUGUUGAGCACGAUUUCGUCCACCAGAGGGCGCUUCUUGACGGUGGUCAUGCCGUGGUCGGACGUGAUGAUGACGUUGAGGCUGGCGUCCAGCUUGUGCCGCCCGAUGGCUUCCCGCAAGUAACCCACCGUGCGAUCGAUCUGCCGGAUGAUGGCCUUCCGGUCCGGGUGGUCCGGACCCCGGGCGUGGCCCACAUUGUCGGGCUCGCCGUAGUACAAGGUGACCAGGUCAAAGUCCUCCUCGGAGAACCAGCUCAGAACCGUGUCGAUGUUGUGCUGCCACUCGGUCUCGUUGUCGUCGGGGUAGCCCUGCUCCUCCACGACGGCCCGGUUCACCGCCUGGCCACUGUAGUUGGCACCACCUCCGGGGUAGUAGAAAGAGGCCGUUUUCAGACCCUGGGACACACGAAAACUUUCAUUUAUGUUGCUUAGCAUGAUCACUUGAUAGCUUCAACAUGCUCAUGUAGCAAACUGCUAGCCCGGUACCACACACAUUCAGCAUGCUAAUGUAGCUCACUGUAAAACAGUGAUUCCCAUCUGGUAGGCCAGGACCCAAAGUGGGUCGCGGACCCAUUUUCGGCGGGUUGCGGACAGUUAGUUAAAAAUGACAUGUACAGGAAUCUUAUUUUGAUUUUUCGAGUAGCCUACAAUACAGAGGUGUACCAAGUCUCCACAUGGAACAUAUUAGGUCAGCGACAGACAUUGUAGCUGCCUCGCCCUUUGCCCACUAGUUUACGCCAUAAACAAAUACAGUGCAGCUCAGCCUCCGGCUAGCAGAGGUCAUGGACGUGCAAUCUUCUUUUGGCGGUAGCCUAAGUCAAACUCAAUUUGAAACUGCAUUUAAAAAUAUAUAAUGUACUGUACAUGUGUUUUUAUAUGCUAUUUAAAGAAAAAUGCUUUACCUUUCUUAACUUCUAUAAAAGUGGGUCACGACUUUACAACAAUAGGAAAAUGUGGGUCCUAUGGUGACAACAGUUGAAAACCACUUGCCUAAAACAUACUAUCAACAUACUUACGUCACCGAAUGUCAUUGGCAGGCUAAUGUAGCUAACUGGUAGCCUUACACCAGUUGUUUUGCUGGUAAGCCAGGAGUGUACAGUACAUCUCGCCGCCUAAAACAUCAGCAGUUGCCUCUCGUCUGGCAGCUGUCGAUGUCCAUUACAAAUAGCCGAAGGUCAACACAAGUUCACAUGGCUGUUGGAUCAAUUUUGUAAAAAAAAUCCACUACACUAACAUUAUGCCAUCAGCAUGCUGCUGUUGCCAUCUUUGACAUCCUAAUAUAGCUAAGUAUUAACCUAGCUAGAGCAUACUGUACAGUCAACCUGCUAAUGUGUCUAAGAGCAUCAUCGUGACACGAUCAUCAUUCUAAUAUGGCUAACAUAACAUCAUCUUCUGACAUGUUCGUCACUGCUAAUGUGGCUAACAGAACAUCAUCAGACAUGUUCGUCAUGCUAAUGUGGCUAACAGAACAUCAUCAGACAUGUUCAUCAUGCUAAUGUGGCUAACACAACAUCAUAAUCAUCUGACACGUUCAUCAUGCUAAUGCGGCUAACGUAACAUCAUCAUCCUCUCACAUGUUCGUCAUGCUGUUGUGGCUAACGUGAGUUGUUGAUUGAGCGGUUAAUGUUAGAUUGACAGCUGUCUGUCACCUGGUUCUGCGCCGUUAUCCAGAGUGGCAAAACGCCGUUGUCCCACCACUCGGAGCGCUUGAGGGUCUCCUUGUGAGGAACCUUCUGGUUGGUCCGCGGGUUAAACAUCAUGUUGUGGACCACCUCGUGGUCCUCCACCCAGCGGCCUGAACAAGAAGAAGAUGAAGAACAAGAUGAUGAAGAAGAUGGACAUGGUGAUCAACAUAAACCGAGGAACAUUUGGGAGGUGCACAUGAAGCUUGAUGACGUCACACUUGCAAACCAAUCAGUUAACACGGUUGAUUUUCAUUUGUUACCAAGCUCAGCUCACAAAUCAAACCACCAGGACAGGACAGGAGGAGAAGAAAUCUGAUCAGAACACAACACAACAGGAGCUGGUGUGAUGACAGGACAGGACGAGAUUUGACACGACAGACAGGAAAAGGCGUGUCAUCAUAUGACAAGUGCGAUACGUUUGAUCAUAUGACUCCGAUACUGUCCAACUUGCUCUGGCUGCCAGUCCACUUCAGAUGCGAUUUAAAGGUUUUGCUCCUCACUCAUAAAAUAUGACAUGGCGUAGUACCCUCUUACCACGCUGACUUAGUUGUACCGUAUGUUCCGUCCCGAAACCUACGCUCGCAACGCGCUGGGCUUUUGGUGACUGAGAGCCAGAAAGAAGUCUGCAGGUUCUCGAGCCAGCAGAUAUUAGAGCUGCUACCUCAGUAGAAAUGUUUCAAUCUCGACUUCAGUCUAAUUUUGACACUUUGGCAUUUAGUUAAAGUACACGUAGGUCUGCUUUCCUGCAGCUUGUCUUAUCUCCACCCCGAAGUGGCAAUGACCGAAUCCGAGGCUGUUGCUUCACGGGUUCUGCAGCCACCGUCUGGGACAAGAUCGGUGGUGGACCUCUUCCCCGGAGUCGCUGCUGCGGAAGAUUCUGCUCCGAACGACUGGAGCGACCUGGUCAUCCUGAAAGGGGGAUCCGUCCACCUGGUCCCCUCUCUAGCUUCAAUCGUCACGCUUCAAUCGACCCUUGAGGUCAAGUCAACUCCUGACAAGUUCGAGUCUGCUUUGUGGAAAUGGCUUUCUUCUGUCUCUCUCCUUUUGUCUCUCUCACCCAACCGGUCUUAGGUCUGCUUGAGGUUUCUUCCCAAGAGGGAGUUUUCCUUGCUCGUGUGAGGUUCAGUGGGUCUUUUAAUGAAUGAGGAGUGUGGCCUUUGACCUGCUCCAUGUGUAAAGUGCCCUGAGACAACUUCUGUUGUGAUUUGACAGACACCACCGGACAGACAACCGGAGAGGAGCGGAUAUGACGCCACAGGACAGAUGACAGAACGGGACAGGACUGAGUGCGUGAGAUUGUGGGCCGACCUGUGAUGGUGGUGAAGUGCGACGGUGAGGUCAUGGUCAGCAUGGGCGGCGUGAUGUACUUGGCCUUGACGCCGUCCCGCGCCAUCCGAUCCAGGUUGGGCGUGUCCACGUCCUGGUCGUAGUCCCAACGGAAGCCGUCGAAGGAGAUCAGCAGAAGGCGCUUCCCGGUCCCGGUCCCGGUCGUGCUGCCGGUCGGGUUAGCGCAGGCCCCGGCCAAAAAGGUGCCGAAGAGGAGAACUGACUCGCAGCCUGGCGCCCGCCAUUGAGUUGCGAUUGUGAGCGGGCGCGGCGGCGGCGGCUCACUGAUAAAUAUCUGCUGAUGUCUUCAACCGGACCUUGGACCAUCUUUGCAAGCACGCACACGCACUUUGAUUUAGAUAUGCAGCGCCAUCACACACGUCAAGUCUCGCACUUGCUGUUGUGCGGCCGCUUUAUCAGACUAACUGAUUACAAUAUGAAGGCUGUAAACACAAUCAAGCGAUGACUGCAUUCUCUUUGCACGUGAAUCAUCCAUCAAUGCGAUGAUGUCAUAACCAUUAGCCUUGACUCCGUCUCAAGGUCAAAUUUGGGCUCCUUUCUUCACAUUUGAAGUUCAUUUAAUGUAUUCAUUAAUGGCAGUUUCAAUAAUGCGAUUAGGAUUAUUAGUUUACAUUUACGAUUAAAAUACCCAAAUUAGGUUCUUAUGUAGCCUUGACGCAUUUCAUUACAU